rnacentral:rRNA from 1 species
UGGGGAAUUUUGGACAAUGGGCGAAAGCCUGAUCCAGCAAUGCCGCGUGUGUGAAGAAGGCCUUCGGGUUGUAAAGCACUUUUGUCCGGAAAGAAAUCCUUGGCUCUAAUACAGUCGGGGGAUGACGGUACCGGAAGAAUAAGCACCGGCUAACUACGUGCCAGCAGCCGCGGUAAUACGUAGGGUGCAAGCGUUAAUCGGAAUUACUGGGCGUAAAGCGUGCGCAGGCGGUUUGCUAAGACCGAUGUGAAAUCCCCGGGCUCAACCUGGGAACUGCAUUGGUGACUGGCAGGCUAGAGUAUGGCAGAGGGGGGUAGAUUCCACGUGUAGCAGUGAAAUGCGUAGAGAUGUGGAGGAAUACCGAUGGCGAAGGCAGCCCCCUGGGCCAAUACUGACGCUCAUGCACGAAAGCGUGGGGAGCAAACAGGAUUAGAUACCCUGGUAGUCCACGCCCUAAAACGAUGUCAACUAGUUGUUGGGGGAUUCAUUUCCUUAGUAACGUAGCUAACGCGUGAAGUUGACCGCCUGGGGAGUACGGUCGC